GACGAACGCUGGCGGCGUGCCUAAUACAUGCAAGUCGAGCGAAGUUUUUCUGGUGCUUGCACUAGAAAAACUUAGCGGCGAACGGGUGAGUAACACGUAAAGAACCUGCCUCAUAGACUGGGACAACUAUUGGAAACGAUAGCUAAUACCGGAUAACAGUAUUUCUCGCAUGAGAGAUAUUUAAAAGUUGGUUAUGCUAACACUAUGAGAUGGCUUUGCGGUGCAUUAGCUAGUUGGUGGGGUAAAGGCCCACCAAGGCGACGAUGCAUAGCCGACCUGAGAGGGUGAUCGGCCACACUGGGACUGAGACACGGCCCAGACUCCUACGGGAGGCAGCAGUAGGGAAUCUUCCGCAAUGGGCGAAAGCCUGACGGAGCAACGCCGCGUGAGUGAAGAAGGAUUUCGGUUCGUAAAGCUCUGUUGCUAGGGAAGAAUGGAUAUGUAGUAACUAUACAUGUAAGAGACGGUACCUAACCAGAAAGCCACGGCUAACUACGUG
rnacentral:rRNA from 1 species